rfam:Rhizobium sp. RT36D genome assembly, contig: Ga0136764_112
AGGUCGGCAGACCACCUAGGCGUCACCGCCCCGUAAGGGGAGCUAAACCUGCCA